ensembl:miRNA
AAGUGCUGGCACUUGGAAGCCUGGCCGUCCUGAGCCUGGAAGUACUGGCACUUGGGAUUCUGGCCAUCCUGAUCCUGGAAGUGCUGGCACUU